UACGGAGGAUGCGAGCGUUAUCCGGAUUUAUUGGGUUUAAAGGGUGCGUAGGCGGCUUUUUAAGUCAGCGGUGAAAUUUUGCAGCUUAACUGUAACAGUGCCGUUGAUACUGGGGAGCUAGGAUUUGGUUGCUGUGGGUGGAAUGUGUGGUGUAGCGGUGAAAUGCGUAGAGAUCACACAGAAUAUCGAUUGCGAAGGCAGCUCACAAAGCCAAGAUUGACGCUGAGGCACGAAAGUGUGGGGAUCAAACAGGAUUA
rnacentral:rRNA from 1 species